rnacentral:rRNA from 1 species
CCUACGGGAGGCUGCAGUGGGGAAUAUUGCGCAAUGGGGGAAACCCUGAUGCAGCGACGCCGCGUGAGUGAAGAAGUACUUCGGUAUGUAAAGCUCUAUCAGCAGGGAAGAAAAUGACGGUACCUGAGUAAGAAGCCCCGGCUAACUACGUGCCAGCAGCCGCGGUAAUACGGAGGGGGCAAGCGUUAUCCGGAUUUACUGGGUGUAAAGGGAGCGUAGACGGCAGUGCAAGUCUGGAGUGAAAGCCGGGGGCUCAACCCCGGGACUGCUCUGGAAACUGUACGGCUGGAGUGCGGGAGAGGUAAGUGGAAUUCCUAGUGUAGCGGUGAAAUGCGUAGAUAUUAGGAGGAACACCAGUGGCGAAGGCGGCUUACUGGACUGUAACUGACGUUGAGGCUCGAAAGCGUGGGGAGCAAACAGGAUUAGAUACCCGUGUAGUC